GACGAACGCUGGCGGCGUGCCUAACACAUGCAAGUCGAGCGGAGCCAAUCAGAAGAUUCCUUCGGGAUGAUUUUGAGGAAGCUUAGCGGCGGACGGGUGAGUAACGCGUGAGUAACCUGCCUGUAAGAGGGGGAUAACACAGAGAAAUUUGUGCUAAUACCGCAUAUUGAGUAGAAGGGACAUCCCUUCAGCUUAAAAGAUUUAUCGCUAAUGGAUGGACUCGCGUCUGAUUAGAUAGUUGGUAGGGUAACGGCCUACCAAGUCGACGAUCAGUAGCCGAACUGAGAGGUUGAUCGGCCACAUUGGGACUGAGACACGGCCCAGACUCCUACGGAGGCAGCAGUGGGGGAUAUUGCGCAAUGGGGGAAACCCUGACGCAGCAACGCCGCGUGCA
rnacentral:rRNA from 1 species